AGUGAACGCUGGCGGUAGGCCUAACACAUGCAAGUCGAACGGCAGCACAGUAAGAGCUUGCUCUUACGGGUGGCGAGUGGCGGACGGGUGAGGAAUACAUCGGAAUCUACUUUUUCGUGGGGGAUAACGUAGGGAAACUUACGCUAAUACCGCAUACGACCUACGGGUGAAAGCAGGGGAUCUUCGGACCUUGCGCGAUUGAAUGAGCCGAUGUCGGAUUAGCUAGUUGGCGGGGUAAAGGCCCACCAAGGCGACGAUCCGUAGCUGGUCUGAGGGGAUGAUCAGCCGCACUGGAACUGAGACACGGUCCAGACUCCUACGGGAGGCAGCAGUGGGGAAUAUUGGACAAUGGGCGCAAGCCUGAUCCAGCCAUACCGCGUGGGUGAAGAAGGCCUUCGGGUUGUAAAGCCCUUUUGUUGGGAAAGAAAAGCAGCAGGUUAAUACCCCGCUGUUCUGACGGUACCCAAAGAAUAAGCACCGGCUAACUUCGUG
rnacentral:rRNA from 1 species